UACGGAGGGUGCAAGCGUUAUCCGGAUUCACUGGGUUUAAAGGGUGCGUAGGAGGGCAGGUAAGUCAGUGGUGAAAUCUCCAAGCUUAACUUGGAAACUGCCGUUGAUACUAUCUGUCUUGAAUACCGUGGAGGUGAGCGGAAUAUGUCAUGUAGCGGUGAAAUGCUUAGAUAUGACAUAGAACACCAAUUGCGAAGGCAGCUCGCUACACGAAUAUUGACUCUGAGGCACGAAAGCGUGGGAUCAAACAGG
rnacentral:rRNA from 1 species